UACGUAGGGGGCAAGCGUUGUCCGGAUUUAUUGGGCGUAAAGAGCGUGUAGGCGGCUUUACAGGUCCGUUGUGAAAACUCGAGGCUCAACCUCGAGACGCCGGUGGAAACCGUAAAGCUAGAGUCCGGAAGAGGAGAGUGGAAUUCCUGGUGUAGCGGUGAAAUGCGCAGAUAUCAGGAGGAACACCCGUGGCGAAAGCGGCUCUCUGGGACGGUACUGACGCUGAGGAGCGAAAGCGUGGGGAGCGAACAGG
rnacentral:rRNA from 1 species